rnacentral:rRNA from 1 species
CGAACGAGAAAUCCCGAGCUUGCUCGGGAGAGUAAAGUGGCGCACGUUUUGAGUAACGCGUGGGUAACCUGUCCUUAAAUUUGGGAUAAUCCACCGAAAGGUGGCCUAAUACCAAAUACAGUCCUAAGAACCAAGGUCCUUGGGAUGAAAGCUGACCUCUUCAUGAAAGUUGGCGUUUAAGGAGGGGCUCGCGUACCAUUAGCUUGUUGGUAGGGUAAUAGCCUACCAAGGCUACGAUGGUUAGCUGGUCUGAGAAGAUGGCCAGCCACACUGGAACUGAAACACGGUCCAGACUCCUACGGGAGGCAGCAGUGAGGAAUCUUGCGCAAUGGGGGAAACCCUGACGCAGCGACGCCGUGUGAGUGAAGAAGGCCUUCGGGUCGUAAGGCUCUGUCAAGUGGGAAUAAAGUCUUGCGGUGAAUACCCGAGAGAUCUGAAGGUACCACUAAAGGAAACACCGGCUAACUCCGUGCCAGCAGCCGCGGUAAUACGGAGGGUGUAAGCGUUAUUCGGAUUU